rnacentral:rRNA from 1 species
AGCGAACGCUGGCGGCAGGCCUAACACAUGCAAGUCGAACGAAGUCUUCGGACUUAGCGGCGGACGGGUGAGUAACACGUGGGAACGUGCCUUUAGGUUCGGAAUAACUCAGGGAAACUUGUGCUAAUACCGAAUGUGCCCUUCGGGGGAAAGAUUUAUCGCCUUUAGAGCGGCCCGCGUCUGAUUAGCUAGUUGGUGGGGUAAUGGCCCACCAAGGCUACGAUCAGUAGCUGGUCUGAGAGGAUGACCAGCCACAUUGGGACUGAGACACGGCCCAAACUCCUACGGGAGGCAGUAGUGGGGAAUCUUGCGCAAUGGGCGAAAGCCUGACGCAGCCAUGCCGCGUGGAUGAUGAAGGUCUUAGGAUUGUAAAAUCCUUUCACCGGUGAAGAUAAUGACUGUAGCCGGAGAAGAAGCCCCGGCUAACUUCGUGCCAGCAGCCGCCGUAAUAC